UACGAAGGGGGCUAGCGUUGCUCGGAAUUACUGGGCGUAAAGCGUGCGCAGGCGGUUAUUUAAGUCAGGUGUGAAAGCCCUGGGCUUAACCUAGGAAUUGCGCUUGAGACUGGAUAGCUUGGAGUGCGGCAGAGGGAGGUGGAAUUCCACGUGUAGCAGUGAAAUGCGUAGAUAUGCGGAGGAACACCGAUGGCGAAGGCAAUCCCCUGGGCCUGCACUGACGCUCAUGCACGAAAGCGUGGGGAGCAAACAGG
rnacentral:rRNA from 1 species